rnacentral:misc_RNA from 1 species
GUUGCUAUGAUGAAGUAAUUAGUGACUUCUGUUAAUGGAAAACAAAUUCCAACUCUCAAUAGCUAAUACCCAAUGACGCAUUCAACCAGCAAUCAAUGCCACAGCAUAGUCUGCUCCAAUCUUUCCAGCUUGAUCAAUCAAAAGAGAAAACACCCUUGUUCCAGAACACCAAAUCUUUAACGUUAGUCUUGAUCAAGACCAGACAAGCAGUUUGCGUUUGAACGAGGUCCUGAAAAUUGGAU